rnacentral:rRNA from 1 species
ACGCUCGACACCUACGGGAGGCAGCAGUAGGGAUCUUCCACAAUGGACGCAAGUCUGAUGGAGCAACGCCGCGUGAGUGAAGAAGGUUUUCGGAUCGUAAAGCUCUGUUGUUGGUGAAGAAGGAUAGAGGUAGUAACUGGCCUUUAUUUGACGGUAAUCAACCAGAAAGUCACGGCUAACUACGUGCCAACAGCCGCGGUAAUCUGAGCGGGCUGGCAAGGC